AGAAGGAUCUCUUCUGGAGAUGUGCUUUGCUGGAGUUUCAUAAGUGAGCUCAGGGUACAGGAAAAGCACUAGAGCAACUUGACUUUGACUGGACUAAAAUAUUGGUUACACCUGUGGGCUUCAUGUUUGCAGCUGCCUGACAUAGUCAUCGAAAUAUGCCACCCUGUCUCUACCAGCCUGAAAACAGAAGCAGUGUGUUCAUGCUGGACUCUUCAGUAGUCCUGUAUACACCUUCUGUGACUCAGCCAAAGAUGAAGUUCACGUA